rnacentral:rRNA from 1 species
UACAGAGGUGGCAAGCGUUGUUCGGAAUUACUGGGCGUAAAGGGCGCGUAGGCGGCCUUCUAAGUCGGACGUGAAAUCUCCAGGCUUAACUUGGGAACUGCGUCCGAUACUGGAGGGCUUGAGUGCGGGAGAGGGAUGUGGAAUUCCAGGUGUAGCGGUGAAAUGCGUAGAUAUCUGGAGGAACACCGGUGGCGAAGGCGGCAUCCUGGACCGACACUGACGCUGAGGCGCGAAAGCCAGGGGAGCAAACGGG